GAGUCGGAGCCGGAACUGGGAGGUAGAGCCAGAGACCCGUAAGCGGAGCCGAACCCCUAUGAGCUUGCCCAGUAGGGAGCUCAGGAUCCCCAAGAUUGGACAGGCAAAUAAGCUUAGUGAUAGUCCCACCAGUCUUCCCGAGAGUCACGGUAGGCAUCCGCUUCCCCUGCCGGUCCCCAGGCCUGCUCUAUCAGGCAACCUUGGGGACGGACUCAGGGCUGCAUUUCCAAUGCUCUGCAGACACACCUCGGGCUUGAAUCCCAGGGUCUCACUGAUUGCACAAAUACUGAUUGAGGGCCUCCUGGGUGCCAGAGAUGUGUGGCUGUCAGGGAGGCAAGGUCCCUGUUCCAGUAGGGGUGACAGGUGUAAAACAGGAUGACUUCAGAACCUGAGAAUGGGGACAAAGCAGAGUACUGGGAAGUGGCUAUGUGGGUGCGGGGCAGCCUGGGACGGGGUAAACAGCAAAUCUUUGCCAUCUGUUCCUGGCCAGAUUUCGCUGGGGAUGCUACUUGAUCUCUCUUCAGCCUCAGUUUCCUCACCUGGACAGUGGAGCUGAACCCACCCCCCACUAUCUGACCCUGCUCUCUGGGCUGUCUUUUGGGAACCCGCCCUGCUGAGGCCUGCUCCCCACCCUCCAUGGCUGUCAGCCCCCCAGGAG
rnacentral:lncRNA from 1 species